rfam:[Clostridium] termitidis CT1112 Ct_contig00043, whole genome shotgun sequence.
UCUGGUGGAAAUGACGAGAUGGCCACACCCGUUCCCAUACCGAACACGGCAGUUAAGCAUCUCAGUGCUGAUAAUACUUGGCUGGCAACGGCCCGGGAAAGUAAGUCUCUGCCAGAU